UAAUUCCUUUGUAUUCCAGCCGAGCUUGUCAUUCCAGACAAUGCGAACGUCUAUUACGCCUUGAACUCAAACGUGGAAUCUCUGUUAUUUAAACUCAAGAAAAAGGAGAGCAAAAGUUCCAGCUGAGGUUUGUCUUAUUCUGGAGAUGAGGCGAAAGAACGAGAGACGUUGUCAAUGAAGAACCAGGAUUUCAGAUCCACUUGCAAAUCUACUGAAUUCACUGGAAAACCACCCCUGAAGUUCACUGAUGUCUGAAGGGGGACCUUGCUUAGCAAAGCCGCCCAAGAAUCAAGAAACAGCUGUAUCAGGGAAUUCUGUUAGUGUAGAACAAUUUUUAAGCCUAGUGGUUUAAACGUUGCAUUUCACAUUUGCCGAAUCUAAUUCAGGAAUUAAAUUCUAGUGAAAUCCGACUGUCACUGCACUCAAAUGCAACUCUUCUCACAUCUUCGACUUGGUCAGUCGAAUUUUCGACAGAAGUUUGCCAUUUUUUAUUCGACUUUUUUAAAUUCUCAUUCGCACAUAUGAAAAGCGACGUUUGAACUCAUGCUUACGUGCAGACCAAUCUGCAGUUUGCUUUGUACAUGUUUAUGUUCUAAAUUUGUCUGAGGCCCCGUCCAUACUACGCUGGAGAAAUUUGAAAACGAAGCUUUAUUUCUAUGGUCAGGCGCUCCGUCCACACUAAACCGGAGGAAUUUGAAAAUGCCGGCUUUGAGUUUUAGUGUGGACUAAAACAUUUCGAAAAUGUCACGAUAAUUAUAUGUUUAAACCUGACCCUGAAGGGUGGACUGAAGCGUUUCUGCCCCAAGUGAAUGUCGCGUUUUCAGAUUUCUUCGGCGUAGUGUGGCCGGGUUCUGAUAGGUUGAGCACCAUGUGCUGAUCUCAAAAUGACUAUAGUUUGAUUGGUCGGUCAGGUGACAUGCAACACGCGUGCGUGACGUAUUGGUCACGUGGAAAGGAUAUGCUUACGCGUGCGUAGUGAGCCAAUUGUAAAUAGCAAAAUGUUCUGUAAAUAUCAAAUGAUCCUAUAUCAACCCCUGGGGGUUUGUUGUCGACAAAACUGAAUGACAUAAAAAAAGGCAAGAAUUCUGGAGAUUCCUCGAACGGAGGAAGAUAAUAAUUUUUUUAAAUUGCAUUUUAUGACAAGAGAAACAAAUGAUCAAAAUUUUAGCUCAGGUAUAACUCAAAAUAUGUUUUCAAUAUUUUUAUAUUUUUCUUCAGUUGUAAAUUUGUUUCUAGAUAAAAUGCGAGCUCGGAUGAGGAAGGUUUUCAGAUUUUUAUAUAUGAGCAUAUAUGGAUAUAAGCUUUUAGCCGCAAGCCUGGUUAGCUUCUUUUUUUAACAUAAAAUGGAGAGGGAAAGAAAUUAUAAUGACCCGAAACAAAGAGAGUAUUAGAAACACGAAAGUAGAAGCAAGCUGGAGCGGAUCUUGGGGGGCUCGGGGGAUUCGGGGGAACCCCCUCAAUUUUUAAAAAAUGAGACAUUAUCAUACGCUGACUUAGCCUCGGAAUGCCGCAAAUCCCAUUUCCGAGGACCUCAAUAUUAAAAACUUCCGGGGAAGAAUGCCCCCGGACCCCCCACCCUCCCUACAAAGGAGCGGCUUCGGGGGUCCGUAUCUUAAACCCCCUUCUCUAACAUCCUAUAUUCGCCCCAGGAACAAGGGAACAAUUCAUUGAACUCACUCUGUCGCUCAUUUUAGCAGUCAAUUUCAUUCGUUAUUUUGUGUUGGAAAAACGUUUACUUUUCGGACGUUUUCGACUGACAAGUGCAAUGUUUGAUUGCUGACUCGUGCGACAGAGUAAACUCUAAUACGAAAGUAGAUCUCUCAGUUCUCGCAAUUUUAUUUUUCAACAAAUGCCAUGAAAAUAAAAUUUGAGAGCACAAAUGGUUCCUUUGA